CGCCUCCCUCAGCGCGGCGGGAUGGGCAAGCGGCGCCGGGGCCGGGAGGGCGGCCGUUGGGUCCGAGCCGCCCGCCCCGGGCAGCGCCGUGAGGGGCCGCGCCUUGUAGCCGGGCCUCUGCCGUUACCUGGGAGAGCCGGGGAGAGAACCUCAGAGUCUGAACCUUGAGAAAUUGUGAUGGAGUGGCAACACAGAAGGAUUUAGUCAACAUCUUUCACACAAGGACUUUCAGACUGCAGGACCAGAUCCUUAGACAGCAUAAAAGGACACAGAUCCAUGGAACUGAACAGAGUUCACCUCCUUCACUAGAGAAAGCACAGAAACACAGAAAUGUUGGUUGGAAGAGUCCUCUGAAGGCCCAAGCUCAUCCAGGCUCACGCUUAACACAGGGCUAUUGCACUAGGUCAGCUGCCUGGACUUGCCUGUUGGGAAGCAAAUGUAGAUUGACUUUGCCUUCAAACACCAUAUGAGGAAACUCACUCAGCCCUCACCAACUGAUCUCGGGGGCCUGUGGAAUGAUAAAAGCUCAAGUUAUCAAAGUAUCUGUAAACUGCCUUCUGAUUUCAAGCUGGAGCACCUCCCUGAAUCUGGACCCUUUGAUUUAAGGUGGCUGCUUUCUUUCACCAUGUCUCAACAGGCAGAAAAGGGCAUAACUUUAAUUCCUGUUGGCUCAGUCAUAUUAGCUCAACAUGACUGAAAAGCCCUCUUCACCUCCAGAAACGCAGAACUGAAUGUGGAUCUACAUUAGAAUCUUCUGCCUGUGUAGUACAAACAGUGUGUUCCUGGUGUGAACUGAGAGGCAUUGGGCUCUGUGGGAGUGAUCUGCUUCUUGGAAUUUAUUUCACAUGGCUGUGAGUGGCUCAGCAAGGUAGGAUGGGAAAAAAGAAACAGGCCCAAACCUCCAAAUGACUCUGAAAGACUGAAGGAGCCUAGCGAUGAGUCCUCACAUCUCCUGCUUCCCCAAGAGAAUGGAAACCUUUCCAAGGGAGCUGAUAUAUCUACCGCCAGCGUUAAGCAUUUUGUGUUUUGUUUUUUUUAAAGAAAAGCCAAAUUACACUAGGAAGUAUCACCUGCCCAAUUUUAAGUCAAAACAAAUAAAUAGUCUUGGGUUUUGCCUUUAAUUUCCUGUCCAGUGCCAGCUUUCCUGAGCCCAGCAUGGGUCUUUUGUGAAAUGCUCUGAGGAUUUUGGGGACAGGAAGUGGCCCCAUCACCUCCACGGCAACUGAUGAAGUGCAGAAGAGCUCCAGCAGCUAAGGAGCCCGCAUCCCAACAGCUAUCCAAAUAACUUUCCCUGUGAACGGAACUACUUCCUCUGGAUAAUACACUGUUUUGCUAGCUGCUGGAGAAGUGGAGUCCCCCCAGAUGCCUAAUGCCUGUGUACUGCCCAUGGCUGCUGCUCUGUGAAUGAGGAACCAUCUCCCAAUCAUGGUGUGUGACAGCACAGCUUGGAUUUAGCAGUUCUAUGAGAUUUAAAAAAUCAAACCAGCUAAUCAAGAUUUAAAACAGUGCUGGAUUGGAAAGACUAGCAAGUGGUCCAGCUGUGAGUUAAUUCAUUAGUUGCAGUAAAUAUUGCUUGAGGAGAUUGUCAAAAGGAAAUGUGAAGCAUCUGAAAAGAAAUGUCCUUAAAGUGAAUGUCAGAAGAUUUUGCAGCUGUCAUCCCGUGGACUGGGAGACUCUGGGCUUUGGAGAGAAGACGGGUGAAAGAAAUAAAAAACUGAGUAGAGGAUAAAGUACCAGUUCCCACUGAGUGAUUAUAAAGGAAACAAUCUUACCACUACAGGGACCUAAUUAGAGACUGAAUCUCAAAACUGUCUAAUAUCUCCUCCAGGACACUGAGAAACCCAAACUAGCUAAAGCAGUCUGUUCAGACCAGCAGCUUUAGGAGACUCUGCAGCUUCAGGGGCACACUGAAAUUCCAGGCUUAUAUAGCUGUGGGUGUUUCCAGUGUUCCUGAACCCUUUAGUCUGUUCAGCACUCACUUCGGACCAGGGAGGCAACUUCAUUUUCUUGCCUGGUGUGGCCAGCACAGCAUCAUCCUGGUCCUACAGAAGACAACAACAGGCUCUGACUGCUGUGUGCCUGAGCCUUGUGUAGGAAAGGCACCAGGACCUGUUUUCGCAGGCAAAUAUAAGAAUUAAUGAUCAACAUUAACAUGAGAGAAUUUCACCUUUCUAUGACUGAUCUGAUGAAUCACUGCUUCUGUUGGUCUCCAUAAUGUGCAGAUCAGGUGUGGGUCCUCAGGCCUUCCUGGAGAUGCCAGUCCUGUCAGUCAGUGGUUGCAUGCAUUGGUUCGCUUAAGCCUUGGUGCAGGGCUCAGCUCUCCCACCUCGCUCCACCUAUUGUCCACCUGAGACACUGUCACCCUUCUCCCCCUCCUUUUGGAAAUGUGGAAACACUGGCCAUAGUCUGAGGCUAACUUUUGGCAGCAAUGCCCAUCCCUGCUCUAGCUGCUCACUUCUACCUCUGAGAUGCAGUGCAUCACCUCUUCAGCACUGUGCAGAGCAGGGACCUCCCCAUGUUAGGUGUUUUUUUUUUCCUUUGUUUGGUGAUUUUUCUAAGCAGCCACGAGUUUUUUCUGGCUUUUAUUUAAGACUGGUCCUCAGCACUCCCGUCCUGAUGCCAGGAAGGGCUGCAUUGACAGGAGCCAUGCUCUGGUGUGAGUGAGCAGCAUGGUGAGCAGAAAGGAAUUAUUUUAGCUGGUAUUGCCAUUAAAAUCCCUUUUCAUGUAACCCUGCCCCCAUAGAGUGAUUCUGUGCAGGUGAGGCUUCAGGGGUUUGUUCCAGUGUCACUACUACUAGCAGCCAUGUUUUUCUGUAGCAGGAUUUUCCAGGCGUAGGGAGGGCUGUGCAUACUGAGCCCACUCAGGGAGCUCAGAGCUCCUGGGAAGAGCAGGGAUGACCGCUUGGGAUGGGUAGAUGUAUCAUGUAUUGGGGGGAGUGGUUUAUGUGUCUCCUCUGGGGUGGGGAGGAGGUAAGUGACCUGCCCAGAGAGAGCUCAGCGCUGCUAUCAUGAGACAAGGACAUUUUCAUAACCGAGGUAAAUAAACAGAUUACUUUUUUUGCUCUAGGGAGAUAAUUUCUUCUGUGCUACUAGCCUGAGACCGUUUCUUGGCUUAGCCAGUAUUCCUACCGUAUGCAACAAGCCUUAACCACUGCAUUUGAGGCUGUUAUUCAUUUGGGGCCAAUAUGAAACAUUUCUGGCAUUUCUUUUCCUUUUUUCUGGCCCUUACAUAUUGCUAAUGUCUCCACUUCUGUAUAUAUGUUUUCUUCUCUAACAUUUCAGUUCUCCUCUCUUAUAAUAUUUUAAAUCCUUAAUUGCCUGGUGCUGCAGAUGGAGAGUAUUAGUUACCUUCCAUCACCACUCUGGCCACGAUGACUUCCUUCACUUGACAAGUUGAUUACUUUGUCAAGGUGAAUGUUGAGUCUGUCUGGAGCAUCUCUGUGUGUCUUGUGCCAGAUUGCAAUUGCAAGCUGGUUUCUUAUCGGACAUGCUGUUUCUCCAGACACAGAAUAUGAGGAGUAAAACUGGGAUUUUUGAGGGGCUUUUUUCCCACUUCCCUACUGAGAUUGAUGUUGCUUCACUUUAUAGCAAUAGGAUUUAGAUGGCUAUAUCUCUAAAUGUGACAAACUAAUGCAUGGCAAGCAAACCCAACUGAUGAAAUUCCAUUGAUAAAGAAAAUUCCCAUCCUGGCAACCACCCAGCAAAGUCCACAAGUGGCGAUUAGGAGUUAAUAAUAACUGCUCCAAGUCUGCCAAAGCUGCUGGAGAUGUGACUAACAGACACCUCCAUGGAGCCAAAGAAUUGUUGCAGUGCCUGCUCCCUGCUGUCCUGCAUCAGCAUGUGCAGAAGGGGAGCGUCCUGGGUGAGCGGUGGGGCUGACAGGCUCCCCAAAGUGCCAGUUACAGGCAGUAGGGGCCAGAAAGGAGCCUUUGAGAAAGCAUUGCAAAAUUGGCUGAACACUAUCUAGGCUCUUUAAGGUAGGAAAAAAUUUCCUCUCCAUUGCACAGUAGGAUAUCUCUGGGGUUCGUGUCUCAGAUCUUGCCAUCAACAUGUGAGUCCCUAGCUCCCCUUCACAGAUCCAGUGCACAAUGCGGGAUCCAGUUAUGUCUCUGUCUACCAAAGUGGCUAUGCACAGCACCAAUCCUUGCCUCCUUACGCCAUGCACAUGCCAUCUAAGCCUCCAGAGACCUUCAAAUGGUUGUGUUGUGCUUGACCCCUAAAAGAGGGUAGACAGCAGUUGCAGCAUAGAAGCUGUAGCAUUAACAUUGUUUUCAGGUGGUCCAGUGGAUAUAAUUGAGGCAAAACAGCAAAACCCAAGUAAAUUAAAUGCAUUUCAUAGCAGCUCCUGAGGGAGAACGGGUCGCAUUUUUUGUGAGCUGCAAGCCAGGUGAAGAGGGCUGGAUCUUCAACAGAGAAAUUGCCGACGUUGGCCCCAAAAUGUCAUUUUUAAGGUAUGGAACUGGAGUUGCUGUCCUCACAGUAUCCCUCAUGAGACCUUAGGAAGAGCAGAGCCAGACCUUUUCUUGUGUCAUACCAUACAUGACAAGGCCGGGAGCCAGGAGGGCUGGUGCUCAGGACACCUUCUCCUGGGGCACUGCCAAGGACAGUGGCAGUAUCCUCCCACGGAGAGUGGUGGGCCCCGGCCCCGGACACAAAGCAUCCAUCCCCAACGCUCACCCGACCCUCCCCUCGAGACCUACUUUUGCUGGGAAAGGCAAGGUAACCUCGCCACUGAAAAUAGCUGGGACGGCAGCCAACGGAGAUUAAUGGCAUCAUUAACGUCCGCAGUUUAUUUAUAGGCUUAAAAAUGCCUCGGACCUGCAAACUGAGCAGAGUUGCUCUGUGUAGCACAGGGACUACCAGGUCUCCUGCUUCUGCCUUUCCCCUUCCUGCUAUUUUAUCCUGAUCGCUGGGACUGUAAAACCUCUGCAGCAGGGGUUGUCUCUCAUUGUAAACCUACUUUGUAAACCUUCCUAACUAGGGGGGAACUCACAGAUACCUUUUUUUCCAUGAAUGCUGUAUUUGUCUGGUCUCCUUCCUCCACCCAACUCUUCCUGUGCUCACUGUCCUGUGGCCUCUCUUUGGGAAAACUCUCUUUUUGACAAAUUCCUGAGGCACGGGCUGAGCAGUCAGCACAGGAGUUAGUUAGUGAUUUUCCACCUUGGGUUUUAAACUGUGAGCUCUGUGACAGGAGGACUGGGAAUCUCAUACAUGUGGAGAGCAUCUAGGACAUGUGGGGCUCUAGUGAGACAUGCAGAUGUAAUUAAUGACCAUGGAGGUCUUCCUAUGGGAGCCAGCAGGGCCAGCCCAGCUCCCAGGUCCUCCAGGAACCUCAUGGGACUGUCAAGAAAAGAAAAAAACACCCUGAGUGUGUUGGUCCCAGAAGAGGAGUUUUUGGCACAUGACCUGUGGCCGCACCACCUGGCCUGUUUCCCAACACUCAGUGAAAGGUAAGUGAGGAAGGAGGCUUGUUGUUAGCAGGCAAAAAUCCAAGGGAUCGUCUUUGUGACUGGGAGAUGGCUCCAUGGGUAGGAGAAAAAAGGUAAAAAUGCCAGUAGGGGCACGUCCCACCCAGAAACACGGAUAACCAGCAUGGCACCCCACAGAGGUGAGGUUGCUGCAGAGGGCAAACAUCCUUUACUUUGCUGUUGGUUUUUUUGUUGUAUCAAUCUGAGAUAAACUGUGUCAGUCUCUCCUUCAUCCUCAGUCUGCCAGGGGCUGAAAUAAAGAACCAGCAGAGAA